rnacentral:rRNA from 1 species
GAGUAACGCUAGCGGCAGGCCUACUACAUGUCAAGUCGAACGGUAGACUUAACCUCGAGUUCAGUUGAGAGUGGCGCACGGGUGCGUAACGCGUAUGCAACCUACCCUUAACUGGGGGAUAGCCCGGAGAAAUUCGGAUUAAUACCCCAUGGUAUUCCAGGAUGGCAUCUGAAAGGGAUUAAAGAUUUAUCGGUUAAGGAUGGGCAUGCGUGACAUUAGAUAGUUGGUGAGGUCAACAGCUCACCAAGUCUACGAUGUCUACGGGUUCUGACAGGAUGAUCCCCCACACUGGUACUGAGAUACGGACCACACUCCUACGGGAGGCAGCAGUAGGGAAUAUUGGUCGAUGGGCGAGAGCCUGAACCAGCCAUGCCGCUGUGCAGGAAGACGGCUUCUGGGUUGUCAAACUGCUUUUAUAUGGGAAGAAAAAGGCCAUGCGUAGGCAAAUUAGCUAGGUACCAUAUGAAUAAGACACCGGCUAACAUCCGUGACCAGCAACCGCAGGUAAUACGGAGGGUGCAAGCGUUGUCCGGAUUUAUCCGGGUUUACAGGGUGCGUAGGCGGAUCUUUAAAGUCAGUGGU